AGGGACUAUGCUCCAACUUCAGGAUCUUAUUCACUCUGCUCUGCUGUACUCUGGGACCUUAGAGAAGAAAAUGCCUACAGUCAAGAAUGUAAGCCUGUUUUUCCAGAAUCUGCUUUCUCCAGAAACUACCAUUCUGCAAUUUCAUGGAUGUCACUACCAAACAAGCAUGGAUGGCCCUGUACCAUCAAUGGAAUGGUUCUUUGCCUCAGUCCUGGCAUUUCAGCUCCCAUUUUCAUGCUCUGGUGAAGAAGGUCAUAAAUAUGAUUUGCUAUCUGGCUUGUCAUUUCUUUGAAUUGUCAACAUUUAGUAAGGAUUUCCCUUGGGAAUUUCUUCUGUCCAAAAUGGCACCAAGGAUGCCAAGCAUGGGCUUUACACGCCUCCUUUAAAUGUGAAUUUGGACAAUAAAAAAAAUUUUAAAAAAAA